ACCGAUUGACUAAGGUUUCCAGAGGAAGGCUCGUCCGCUCUGGGUUAGUCGGGUCCUAAGCUGAGGCCGACAGGCGUAGGCGAUGGAUAACAGGUUGAUAUUCCUGUACCACCUAUAAUCGUUUUAAUCGAUGGGGGGACGCAGUAGGAUAGGCGAAGCGUGCGAUUGGAUUGCACGUCUAAGCAGUAAGGCUGAGUAUUAGGCAAAUCCGGUACUCGUUAAGGCUGAGCUGUGAUGGGGAGAAGACAUUGUGUCUUCGAGUCGUUGAUUUCACACUGCCGAGAAAAGCCUCUAGAUAGAAAAUAGGUGCCCGUACCGCAAACCGACACAGGUAGUCAAGAUGAGAAUUCUAAGGUGAGCGAGCGAACUCUCGUUAAGGAACUCGGCAAAAUGACCCCGUAACUUCGGGAGAAGGGGUGCUCUUUAGGGUUAACGCCCAGAAGAGCCGCAGUGAAUAGGCCCAAGCGACUGUUUAUCAAAAACACAGGUCUCUGCUAAACCGUAAGGUGAUGUAUAGGGGCUGACGCCUGCCCGGUGCUGGAAGGUUAAGAGGAGUGGUUAGCUUCUGCGAAGCUACGAAUCGAAGCCCCAGUAAACGGCGGCCGUAACUAUAACGGUCCUAAGGUAGCGAAAUUCCUUGUCGGGUAAGUUCCGACCCGCACGAAAGGCGUAACGAUUUGGGCACUGUCUCAACGAGAGACUCGGUGAAAUCAUAGUACCUGUGAAGAUGCAGGUUACCCGCGACAGGACGGAAAGACCCCGUGGAGCUUUACUGUAGCCUGAUAUUGAAAUUCGGCACAGCUUGUACAGGAUAGGUAGGAGCCUUUGAAACGUGAGCGCUAGCUUACGUGGAGGCGCUUGUGGGAUACUACCCUAGCUGUGUUGGCUUUCUAACCCGCACCACUUAUCGUGGUGGGAGACAGUGUCAGGCGGGCAGUUUGACUGGGGCGGUCGCCUCCUAAAAGGUAACGGAGGCGCUCAAAGGUUCCCUCAGAAUGGUUGGAAAUCAUUCAUAGAGUGUAAAGGCAUAAGGGAGCUUGACUGCGAGACCUACAAGUCGAGCAGGGUCGAAAGACGGACUUAGUGAUCCGGUGGUUCCGCAUGGAAGGGCCAUCGCUCAACGGAUAAAAGCUACCCCGGGGAUAACAGGCUUAUCUCCCCCAAGAGUUCACAUCGACGGGGAGGUUUGGCACCUCGAUGUCGGCUCAUCGCAUCCUGGGGCUGUAGUCGGUCCCAAGGGUUGGGCUGUUCGCCCAUUAAAGCGGUACGCGAGCUGGGUUCAGAACGUCGUGAGACAGUUCGGUCCCUAUCCGUCGUGGGCGUAGGAAAUUUGAGAGGAGCUGUCCUUAGUACGAGAGGACCGGGAUGGACAUACCUCUGGUGUACCAGUUGUCGUGCCAACGGCAUAGCUGGGUAGCUAUGUGUGGACGGGAUAAGUGCUGAAAGCA
rnacentral:rRNA from 1 species